GGAAGUGUAGCUCAGGGAUGGAGCACUUGCCUAGCAUGCAUGGAGCCCUGGGUUCCAUCCCCAGCGCCA
rnacentral:tRNA from 1 species